rnacentral:rRNA from 1 species
UACGGAGGGCGCGAGCGUUAAUCGGAAUUACUGGGCGUAAAGCGCGCGUAGGCUGUUGUGUAAGUUGGGGGUGAAAUCCCACGGCUCAACCGUGGAACAGCCCUUGAUACUGCGCGACUUGAAUCCGGGAGAGGGUGGCGGAAUUCCAGGUGUAGGAGUGAAAUCCGUAGAUAUCUGGAGGAACAUCAGUGGCGAAGGCGGCCACCUGGACCGGUAUUGACGCUGAGGCGCGAAAGCGUGGGUAGCAAACAGG